CUGUGACUGGGCACAGGGCAAGGGACAGUAGCUCACCUCUGACCUCCCCUGACCCCACCUCUAGUCCUCAAGCACUGUCCCUCCUGAUCUGGGUCAGCUGCCCGGAUGUGCCAGACGCGACAGGUGUGACGCCAACGACCCCCACCUCGACCCUGACUCUAUUGGCCGCUGGCCCCUUGUCCUUGGUUGUGUGAUCUAAAGAAGACAAUGAAGGCUGUGCUGGGGUCAGCACGUCACCAGAACAAGCAGGACAAGCUCAGGCGGGGGGUCAGUCCUGUCAUAGUCUUUUUAGAGUCACUCAUAAGCUUGGUGGCUUUCGGCUGUUAGGAGGUCAAGCGCAUCGUUCCCCGGUCAGGCCUCAGGACAGAGGCAAGCUGCUGUGGGUGUCGGUUGCCAUGACGACGAUGAUGCCGGUGGCGGUGAUGCUCGAUACCCGUUCCCGCACCCUCUCUCCUGUCAUCACGUCACAUCCCUAAAGAUACCAUCAAGGAAGGGUUUCACUCCUUCUCAUGCGCUUAGUUAGCCCUAAGACCCGCAUCUUGGAGGAGGGGCGAAGCCUAUAUGGUCUCUGGGCUCCGUCUUGCCCAUUAUGGCAGUUAAGUCCUUGUGGGAUCUAAAAUAUCCCGCAGUCAGUCAGGCCAGCGGUGGCCAGCAUGGCGCUCUGACUUUUGCUUUCUGAUCAGAGUAAUUAUGUCUCAUGGCCGGGCUGACGUGUCUCUCUCCUCUCACCUCCCAGAGGGAGCUGACCACCAAAGGGACCUGUGCCACUCCGGGCAGGACCUUGUGGCCAGAGCGGGUGGGGAGCAUGCUGGGAGGGCAGACGGUCCAACCUGCUCGUGGGGAAGGGAAUCCCACGUAGAAGGAACCACAGGAGCAGUUGGGGAAACUGAGGCACAGAGUGGGAAGACAGCCUGGUCAAGGUCACGUGGUGAGUGGGUGACCAAACAGAGGUCAGGAUUUGAACUCCUGACCCAGGGCUGAUGCUCUGUCUGCCUGAGCCUCAUGGAUCCCAUGCCUGGGGCUGGCUGGGCUGCAAUCCCAAGCCUGGAGCAGAUGACGGAGGGGGAGUUUGGGGCAGAGGUGAGGGCUUGCGGGAAGGGGGGUGAAGUUAGGCCCAUGGAAUAAAUGCCUCACGCUGGGGUCCCUCGGGCUCUGGAAGGGACAGCGAAGGAGGGUCUCCCCAGUCCUGACUGGGACCCAUGGACAGGCUUGAAUGUGAUGGCAGGACAUCCUGGGAUGAGAUGGUCCCAGGCUCAUGGUGAAAUGAGAAAAAUCAGGCACGUGGUGUAAGGUUGCCAACUGCUAACACCUCCCAAGUGAGUGUCACCUGAUCCCAGCUUGGGAAAUGCCGUGUGAAGACACUUAAAAGUCAGCGUGAUUUAACAAGGAACUGCCACAGAACUGGCUGGGUUUUCCUGAGAGUCUGAGCCCAGUGUUAGAAGGUGCGAGCUUGCCUGCCCUACUCCUCUGACACAUGACGUGAUACAGGCCCCUGCGUCCGACGGGGCUUCUGUUCUGGUGAGGGGACACAGGCACACAGUGAGAGAGAGAGAGGCAGAGACACAGGCAGAGGGAGAAGCAGG